GACGAACGCUGGCGGCGAUGCUUAACACAUGCAAGUCAAACGGAAAGGCCCUUUCGGGGGUACUCGAGUGGCGAACGGGUGAGUAACACGUGGGUGAUCUGCCCUGCACUUUGGGAUAAGCCUGGGAAACUGGGUCUAAUACCGAAUACACCCUGCUGGUCGCAUGGCUGGUGGGGGAAAGCUUUUGCGGUGUGGGAUGGGCCCGCGGCCUAUCAGCUUGUUGGUGGGGUGAUGGCCUACCAAGGCGACGACGGGUAGCCGGCCUGAGAGGGUGUCCGGCCACACUGGGACUGAGAUACGGCCCAGACUCCUACGGGAGGCAGCAGUGGGGAAUAUUGCACAAUGGGCGCAAGCCUGAUGCAGCGACGCCGCGUGAGGGAUGACGGCCUUCGGGUUGUAAACCUCUUUCAGUAGGGACGAAGCGCAAGUGACGGUACCUACAGAAGAAGGACCGGCCAACUACGUGCCAGCAGCCGCGGUAAUACGUAGGGUCCGAGCGUUGUCCGGAAUUACUGGGCGUAAAGAGCUCGUAGGUGGUUUGUCGCGUUGUUCGUGAAAACUCACAGCUUAACUGUGGGCGUGCGGGCGAUACGGGCAGACUGGAGUACUGCAGGGGAGACUGGAAUUCCUGGUGUAGCGGUGGAAUGCGCAGAUAUCAGGAGGAACACCGGUGGCGAAGGCGGGUCUCUGGGCAGUAACUGACGCUGAGGAGCGAAAGCGUGGGGAGCGAACAGGAUUAGAUACCCUGGUAGUCCACGCCGUAAACGGUGGGUACUAGGUGUGGGUUUCCUUCCUUGGGAUCCGUGCCGUAGCUAACGCAUUAAGUACCCCGCCUGGGGAGUACGGCCGCAAGGCUAAAACUCAAAGAAAUUGACGGGGGCCCGCACAAGCGGCGGAGCAUGUGGAUUAAUUCGAUGCAACGCGAAGAACCUUACCUGGGUUUGACAUGCACAGGACGUGCCUAGAGAUAGGUAUUCCCUUGUGGUCUGUGUGCAGGUGGUGCAUGGCUG
rnacentral:rRNA from 1 species